GACGAACGCUGGCGGCGUGCUUAACACAUGCAAGUCGAACGGAAAGGCCCUGCUUGCAGGGUACUCGAGUGGCGAACGGGUGAGUAACACGUGGGUGAUCUGCCCUUCACUUCGGGAUAAGCCUGGGAAACUGGGUCUAAUACCGGAUAGGAGCCAUUUUUAGUGUGAUGGUUGGAAAGUUUUUUCGGUGUAGGAUGAGCUCGCGGCCUAUCAGCUUGUUGGUGGGGUAAUGGCCUACCAAGGCGGCGACGGGUAGCCGGCCUGAGAGGGUGGACGGCCACAUUGGGACUGAGAUACGGCCCAGACUCCUACGGGAGGCAGCAGUGGGGAAGAUUGCACAAUGGGCGCAAGCCUGAUGCAGCGACGCCGCGUGGGGGAUGACGGCCUUCGGGUUGUAAACGCCUUUCGCUAGGGACGAAGCUUUUUGUGACGGUACCUAGAUAAGAAGCACCGGCUAACUACGUG
rnacentral:rRNA from 1 species